rnacentral:lncRNA from 1 species
AUGGGGCUGCCCUUCGCCACGGGAUUUCUUUGCUUUUUAGGGAAAUUCGAAAAAGAUUCCACUGAGUACUUAAAGCAUCUGGAACCUCGGGUGAAGGAGGAAUGUUGGAAUUUGCACAAAGGGAACUUGGAGGAGGACGCCGAGUGCCCUGAUCCACUUCCACUAGGAGGCCUGUUUCCAGAGGAGCGUUUUUCUUCACUCGACUUGUGUUUCUUGCAAGAGUUUAUCUUUAAACUUCUGAAAAUCAAGGAAUUCGAGCUCCAGGAGCUGAGGAAGACUCUAGAAAGAGCCCGAGUGGAACAGGAGGACUUGCAGAGGCAGCUGGUAAAGUUCCAGAGCCAGCAGCAGAGGCUGGAGGCGGAGCUGGCGGGCCUGAAGACCUACCGCAUCAUCCUGGAGAAGGAGUUUGAGAACCUGAACAUGGUGCUGAUGCUGUCCCGCUUCGGCUGCAGCGGAGAGCAGUGUCCCUCCCCCGCACCGGCGUCCGGCCCUCUCCCAGCGGCUCCCGGGUCAGCUUCCACACGGAGGCACCUCUCUCCUCGGAGAAAGGACCGAAGAUCCUGGGACUUACGUACCGGACAGUGAGAAUGGCUCUACUGACGAGAAAAUAAAUUGGGUGUGUAUGUUUGUGCAGCAGACUCGCUCUGUCUUUCUGCCCCGGUCACGGCAGGGUCUGUGCUGUAGGUACUCCUCCCUCCCGGGGGGGGAAGAGUUGAGCAGCUUUGAUUUGGGAAGAUUUUGGUCGAGUGCUUCUGUCUUUCCACAGCUAAGCACUGCAGGGACUAGGGGCACCCCACCCCUACCCCCACCCCUGCUCUGGGAGCACACCCCCUCC